ACGAACGCUGGCGGCGUGCCUAAUACAUGCAAGUAGAACGCUGAAGAGAGGAGCUUGCUCUUCUUGGAUGAGUUGCGAACGGGUGAGUAACGCGUAGGUAACCUGCCUUGUAGCGGGGGAUAACUAUUGGAAACGAUAGCUAAUACCGCACAACAAUGGAUGACACAUGUCAUUUAUUUGAAAGGGGCAAUUGCUCCACUACAAGAUGGACCUGCGUUGUAUUAGCUAGUAGGUGAGGUAAUGGCUCACCUAGGCGACGAUACAUAGCCGACCUGAGAGGGUGAUCGGCCACACUGGGACUGAGACACGGCCCAGACUCCUACGGGAGGCAGCAGUAGGGAAUCUUCGGCAAUAGGGGCAACCCUGACCGAGCAACGCCGCGUGAGUGAAGAAGGUUUUCGGAUCGUAAAGCUCUGUUGUAAGUCAAGAACGGGUGUGAGAGUGGAAAGUUCACACUGUGACGGUAGCUUACCAGAAAGGGACGGCUAACUACGUG
rnacentral:rRNA from 1 species